rnacentral:rRNA from 1 species
GACGAACGCUGGCGGCGUGCUUAACACAUGCAAGUCGAACGAUGAAGCCGGAGCUUGCUCUGGUGAAUUAGUGGCGAACGGGUGAGUAACACGUGAGUAACCUGCCCUUGACUCUGGGAUAACUGCUAGAAAUGGUAGCUAAUACCGGAUACGACCCUCGGAGGCAUCUUCAGGGGGUGGAAAGAAUUUCGGUCAAGGAUGGACUCGCGGCCUAUCAGCUAGUUGGUGAGGUAAUGGCUCACCAAGGCGACGACGGGUAGCCGGCCUGAGAGGGGAGCCGGGCAGACUGGGACGGAGACACGGGCCAGACUCCGACGGGAGGAAGGAGGGGGGAAUAUUGCACAAUGGGCGCAAGGCUGAUGCAGAAACGCCGGGGGAGGGAUGACGGCCUUCGGGUUGUAAACCUCUUUUAGUAGGGAAGAAGCGAAAGUGACGGUACCUGCAGAAAAAGCACCGGCUAACUACGUGCCAGCCGCCGCCGUAA